ensembl:lncRNA
CGGAAGCGGAUUUGGGUCUCUUCGGGGGGGGCUCCGGGGACGCCCCGCCCCCCCCCGCCCCCCCCCCCGGGUCGGCGCUGCCCCCGUUUGGGUGAAUCGGGGGGGGGCGGCGGCACUGCGAUCCCGCCCUCUUCGUACGCCUUCCGGCGCGCCGCGCCGCGGAGCUGAGCGCUGAUUGGACGGGAAAGAGGAAAGGGGGCGGGGUUAAGGGCGGAACCGGAAGUUGGAGGAUGGAGGAGGGGGAGGGGAUUGGGGGGCAUUUUGGGGUGAAAUUGUGGGGAUUUCGGGUCAUUUUGGGGCGGAAUUGUGGGAAUUUGGGGUAUUUUAAAGGAGUUUUGGGGUGAAAUUGGGGAUUUGGGGGCAAUUUGGAGGAGCCGCACUGCGAUCCCGCCCUCUUCGUAGGCCUUCCGGCGCGCUGCGCCGCUGAUUGGACGGGAAGAGAAAGGGGGCGGGGCCAGGAACGGAACCGGAAGUGAAGGAAAGGGAGGGAGGAAGAGGAUUUUAGGGUGAAAAAAGGGGAUUUUGGGAUCAUUUUGGAUCACUAUUAGGGUGAAAUUUGGGGCAAUUUCAGGAUGAAAUUGGGAUAUUUGGGGUCAUUUUGCGUCCAUUUUGGAUCAAUUUGGGUCCUUUUGGGCUCCAUUUGGGGGCAUUUGCGGUCCAUUUGAGGGCAUUUUGGGUCCAUUUUGGGGUCAAUUUGGGCCCAUUUUGGGGUCCAUUUGGGGCAGAAUUUGGGGGUUUGGGGGCUGAAAUUUGGGGGUUUGGGGCCCGGGGGGGGGGGGGUAUUUGGGGUCGGUGGGGUAUUUGGGGUCAGUGAGGUAUUUGGGAUCAAUUUGGGCCCAUUUUGGGGUCCAUUUGGGUCCAUUUUUGGAUCCAUUUGGGUCCAAAUUUGUCCCACUUUGGGGUCCAUUUGGGGCAGAAUUUGGGGGGUUGGGGGCUGAAAUUUGGGGGUUUGGGGCCUGGGGGGGGGUAUGUGGGGUUGGUGGGGUAUUUGGGGUCAGUGAGGUAUUUGGGAUCAAUUUGGGCCCAUUUUGGGGUCCAUUUGGGUCCAUUUUGGGGUCCAUUUGGGUCCAAAUUUGUCCCACUUGGGGUCCAUUUGGGGCAGAAUUUGGGGGUUUGGGGGCUGAAAUUUGGGGUGUUUGGGGCCCGG